rnacentral:rRNA from 1 species
CGCCAUAAUGAGUGCUAGUGUUAGGGGGUUUCCGCCCCUUAGUGCUGCAGCUAACGCAUUAAGCACUCCGCCUGGGGAGUACGACCGCAAGGUUGAAACUCAAAGGAAUUGACGGGGACCCGCACAAGCGGUGGAGCAUGUGGUUUAAUUCGAAGCAACGCGAAGAACCUUACCAAAUCUUGACAUCCUUUGACAACUCUAGAGAUAGAGCCUUCCCCUUCGGGGGACAAAGUGACAGGUGGUGCAUGGUUGUCGUCAGCUCGUGUCGUGAGAUGUUGGGUUAAGUCCCGCAACGAGCGCAACCCUUAAGCUUAGUUGCCAUCAUUAAGUUGGGCACUCUAAGUUGACUGCCGGUGACAAACCGGAGGAAGGUGGGGAUGACGUCAAAUCAUCAUGCCCCUUAUGAUUUGGGCUACACACGUGCUACAAUGGACAAUACAAAGGGCAGCGAAACCGCGAGGUCAAGCAAAUCCCAUAAAGUUGUUCUCAGUUCGGAUUGUAGUCUGCAACUCGACUACAUGAAGCUGGAAUCGCUAGUAAUCGUAGAUCAGCAUGCUACGGUGAAUACGUUCCCGGGUCUUGUACACACCGCCCGUCACACCACGAGAGUUUGUAACACCCGAAGCCGGUGGAGUAACCUUUUAGGAGCUAGCCGUCGAAGGUGGGACAAAUGAUUGGGGUGAAGUCUAAGGGGGGACCCCCAAAAAAAUUUUUUUGGUUCCCCUCUUUGGCCCUAAGUUGCCAAAAGCUGGGGCUCCAAAGGGGGGUAUUCCCCCCCGGGGGGUCCCGAUCUCCCCCUGGCUUGUUUUCCCAGCCCGCAAGGGGGUAGUCCCUCUGUGCGCGGCGGGGGGCCGGGUGUUUCGCGGGUGGCGGGGGGGGGGUCCGCGGGGGGGGGGGGGGGGGGGGUUUUGUGGUGAGGAAAUUUCAAAAGAGCCGGGAACGCGGGGGGGGGUUCGCGCCGAAGAUUUUUGGGGGGGGAAAGGGGGGGGGGCCCCAAAAGGUGAUAACGGGGGGGGGGGGGGGGGGGCCUUUGUAUUUGCGGCGGGGGGGGUGUGGGAUGUGUGGGGGGGGGGGGGGGGGGGGGGGGGGGGGGGGGGGGUCG